GAUUUUGUGAUUCUGGUUAAACUAUAAGCAUGAAGGAAGCAAAGAAGGAGCUUGCAGGUUGAGAGGAGGGAGAUCAUGGUGACAUAGACAAUCUCUUUAGAUUCUAGGUGCUGGUGUUUGCAGUGUGAAUGGGAGAUGAAGCAGCAUGAUACAAUCUGAUACAAAGAAGAAGUGAUGACAUCUCUAGACUCCACUAUUGUAUAUUCGUGAAAUGAACAGGAGUACACAGCUGAGAGUGAAGGUGGAGAAGAAUAUGUCAAGAGAGCAGAAAUCGAUCCUGGGAGAAAAAGUCUGAUCUGAAGCGUCUCAAGCUAAUAUUUCAGGACAGAGCAGAUAUUGACAUCAAGAAGCAGACCCAAGAGUAGUUCCUGAGUAUUCUACCUGGGAAGAUCAGGACUGAGUUAAGCCACCACAUCUAGAGAGCAGUGAGCGAGAGUUGACUAUGAAGGAUCUGAUCCAAGUGCUGGAAGAGAAAGGUUUGCCUUUGCAGGACUCCACCCUUCCACAAGUGGGUAGCACAGAGGAGGAUAUGGUUCCUGGGCUCCUGCUAUCUAAGCUUCAGGUAAAUUGGGAUUUUCAGUUUGUUUCCUGAAGUACCAUCUUAUUUCAGAGAGUUUUUA
ensembl:lncRNA